GGAGGGGGUGCUUGCACUGGUCUUGAAAACCGGCGUGGGGUUAUGCCCCACCGCGGGUUCGAAUCCCGCCCCUUCCG
rnacentral:tRNA from 1 species